rnacentral:rRNA from 1 species
UAGGGAAUCUUCGGCAAUGGGGGCGAACCCUGACCGAGCAACGCCGCGUGAGUGAAGAAGGUUUUCGGAUCGUAAAGCUCUGUUGUAAGAAAAGAACGUGUGUGAGAGUGGAAAGUUCACACAGUGACGGUAACUUACCAGAAAGGGACGGCUAACUACGUGCCAG